rfam:Synechococcus phage S-RSM4 complete genome
UGGCGUGUAGCUCAAUGGCAGAGCAGGGAGCUGUUAACUCUCUGGUUGCAAGUUCGAGUCUUGCCACGCCAG